rnacentral:rRNA from 1 species
GACGAACGCUGGCGGCGUGCCUAAUACAUGCAAGUAGAACGCACAGUUUAUACCGUAGCUUGCUACACCAUAGACUGUGAGUUGCGAACGGGUGAGUAACGCGUAGGUAACCUGCCUGGUAGCGGGGGAUAACUAUUGGAAACGAUAGCUAAUACCGCAUAAUAUUGAUUAUUGCAUGAUAAUUAAUUGAAAGGUGCAAUUGCACCACUACCAGAUGGACCUGCGUUGUAUUAGCUAGUAGGUGAGGUAACGGCUCACCUAGGCGACGAUACAUAGCCGACCUGGGAGGGUGAUCGGCCACACUGGGACUGAGACACGGCCCAGACUCCUACGGGAGGCAGCAGUAGGGAAUCUUCGGCAAUGGACGAAGGUCUGACCGAGCAACGCCGCGUGAGUGAAGAAGGUUUUCGGAUCGUAAAGCUCUGUUGUAAGAGAAGAACGGGUGUGAGAGUGGAAAGUUCACACUGUGACGGUAUCUUACCAGAAAGGGACGGCUAACUACGUG